AACGAACGCUGGCGGCAUGCCUAACACAUGCAAGUCGAACGAGACCUUCGGGUCUAGGGGCGCACGGGUGCGUAACGCGUGGGAACCUGCCCUUAGGUUCGGAAUCCCUCCCCGAGAGGGGUGCUAAUACAGGAGAAUGUAUUCCGACCAAAGAUUUAUCGCCGUUGGAUGGGCGCGCGUUGGAUUAGCUAGUUGGUAGGGUAAAAGCCUACCAAGGGGACGAUCCAUAGCUGGUCUGAGAGGAUGAUCAGCCACACUGGGACUGAGACACGGCCGAGACUCCUACGGGAGGCAGCAGUGGGGAAUAUUGGACAAUGGGCGAAAGCCUGAUCCAGCAAUGCCGCGUGAGUGAUGAAGGCCUUAGGGUUGUAAAGCUCUUUUACCCGGGAUGAUAAUGACAGUACCGGGAGAAUAAGCUCCGGCUAACUCCGUG
rnacentral:rRNA from 1 species